AGUGAGAAUGCCGGAAUGAGUAGCGAGAAUUAUGUGAGAAUCAUAAUGGCCGAAAAUCUAAGGUUUCCUGAGGAAGGUUCGUCCGCUCAGGGUAAGCCGGGGGCUAAGGCGAGGCGGAGACGCGUAGCCGAUGCACAUACGGUUGAAAUUCCGUAGCCACCGAAAGAUUUAAAUACAGGGACGCUUUAGAAGUGAUGUUGCCGGGCGAUGGUUGACCCGGUCGUAAGGGAUCGAAAAUGAGUAGAGAAGUCAUCAUGGAAAGAGACAAGAAAAGCUGUAUGGAUAUCUUAGGUGCCCGUACCGCAAACCGACACAGGUAGAUAGGAAGAAGAUUCUAAGGCCAACGGGAGAAGGGUUGUUAAGGAACUCGGCAAGUUGACCCCGUAACUUAGGGAUAAGGGGUGCUCAAGUGAUUGAGCCGCAGAGAAUAGGCCCAGGCGACUGUUUAGCAAAAACACAGGUCUCUGCUAAAUCGAAAGAUGACGUAUAGGGGCUGACACCUGCCCGGUGCCGGAAGGUUAAGAGGAGAUGUGAGAGCAUUGAAUUGAAGCCCCGGUAAACGGCGGCCGUAACUAUAACGGUCCUAAGGUAGCGAAAUUCCUUGUCAGGUAAGUUCUGACCCGCACGAAAGGUGUAACGAUCUGGGCACUGUCUCAACAACCCGCCCGGCGAAAUUGUAGUACCGGUGAAGAUGCCGGUUACCCGCGACUAGACGGAAAGACCCCAUGGAGCUUUACUGUAGCCUAAUAUUGGAUUUCGGUAUUUCACGUACAGGAUAGGUGGGAGACUGGGAAGCACAGGCGUCAGCUUGUGUGGAGUCGACCUUGGGAUACCACUCUUGGAGUGCUGGAAUUCUAACCUGCGGCUUUGAAGCAAGUCGGGGGACAUUGUUAGGUGGGCAGUUUGACUGGGGCGGUCGCCUCCUAAAGAGUAACGGAGGCGCUCAAAGGUUCGCUCUGCAUGGAUGGAAACCAUGCGUCAGAGUGUAAACGCAAAAGCGAGCCUAACUGCGAGAAUGACGGUUCGAGCAGUAACGAAAGUUGGAGUUAGUGAUCCGGCGGUAUGUGAAUGGAAAUGCCGUCGCUCAACGGAUAAAAGCUACCCUGGGGAUAACAGGCUGAUCUCCCCCAAGAGUCCACAUCGACGGGGAGGUUUGGCACCUCGAUGUCGGCUCAUCGCAUCCUGGGGCUGAAUUCGGUCCCAAGGGUUUGGCUGUUCGCCAAUUAAAGCGGUACGCGAGCUGGGUUCAGAACGUCGUGAGACAGUUCGGUCCCUAUCUGUCGUGGGCGUAGGAUAUUUGCAAGGAGCUGUCCCUAGUACGAGAGGACCGGGAUGGACGCACCUCUGGUGCACCAGUUGUCACGCCAGUGGCACAGCUGGGCAGCUAUGUGCGGAACGGAUAAACGCUGAAGGCAUCUAAGCGUGAAGCCGCCCUUAAGAUAAGAUAUCCCUUCUGUUUACAGAGUAAGACCCCUUGAAGACUACAAGGUUGAUAGGCUCAAAGUGUAAGCACGGUGACGUGUUUAGCUAGCGAGUACUAAUCGGUCGAGGGCUUAACCU
rnacentral:rRNA from 1 species